GUGAGCAUAGCUCAGUUGGUAGGACAAUGCAUUAUUAUAUGCAUGGGUCGGGGUUCGAACCUCAGACGCCCCACU
rnacentral:tRNA from 1 species